AUCAAAAAAAAAAAAAAUUUAAAGAAAAUAAUAAUAAUAAAUAAGGAGAAACAUGAGAUUUUAGCUUCCAAUUAAAAUGCCAGGGAACUGUUCAAUAACAUAUAAAAAGUUACUGCAAUGCCAAAUUAUUUUAUAUUCCUCUUAUUUGUAACAAUGCUCUUGUAAUAUUAAGAGGAAGUUAGCAAGCUCUCAAAUAUGGAUAAUAGAGGCCCAAGAAUAGAAAUAAAUAAAUAAAUAAAUAAUCAUAGGUGCACACACACACAAACUUAACCAGCCAACAGGGUACUAAUCAAAUUAUAGAGAGAGAGAGGUACCUCAUCACCCUCAUCUGCAUAUGGUGUGUUCUCAUGCAUGAUACGAGAAUCAGGUUGUCUAGUAGGAAUAUUCUCAUUGGCCAUACU